rnacentral:tRNA from 1 species
AGGGUUAUAGUUAAUUAUAACAUUUAAUUUGCAUUUAAAAAGUAUUGAAAUUUCAAUUAACCUU